rnacentral:rRNA from 1 species
CCUACGGGCGGCCGCAGUGGGGAAUAUUGCACAAUGGGGGAAACCCUGAUGCAGCAACGCCGCGUGAGUUAAGAAGUAUUUCGGUAUGUAAAGCUCUAUCAGCAGGGAAGAUAAUGACGGUACCUGACUAAGAAGCUCCGGCUAAAUACGUGCCAGCAGCCGCGGUAAUACGUAUGGAGCAAGCGUUAUCCGGAUUUACUGGGUGUAAAGGGUGCGUAGGCGGCAGAGCAAGUCAGAUGUGAAAGACCGGGGCUCAACCCCGGGGCUGCAUUUGAAACUGUUUUGCUGGAGUCCGGGAGAGGCAGGCGGAAUUCCUAGUGUAGCGGUGAAAUGCGUAGAUAUUAGGAGGAACACCAGUGGCGAAGGCGGCCUGCUGGACCGGAACUGACGCUGAGGCACGAAAGCGUGGGGAGCAAACAGGAUUAGAUACCCGAGUAGUC